rnacentral:rRNA from 1 species
GACGAACGCUGGCGGCGUGCCUAAUACAUGCAAGUAGAACGCUGAAGAAAGGAGCUUGCUUCUUUUGGAUGAGUUGCGAACGGGUGAGUAACGCGUAGGUAACCUGCCUUGUAGCGGGGGAUAACUAUUGGAAACGAUAGCUAAUACCGCAUAACAGCUUUUGACACAUGUUAGAAGCUUGAAAGAUGCAAUUGCAUCACUACGAGAUGGACCUGCGUUGUAUUAGCUAGUAGGUAGGGUAACGGCCUACCUAGGCGACGAUACAUAGCCGACCUGAGAGGGUGAUCGGCCACACUGGGACUGAGACACGGCCCAGACUCCUACGGGAGGCAGCAGUAGGGAAUCUUCGGCAAUGGGGGCAACCCUGACCGAGCAACGCCGCGUGAGUGAAGAAGGUUUUCGGAUCGUAAAGCUCUGUUGUAAGAGAAGAACGUGUGUGAGAGUGGAAAGUUCACACAGUGACGGUAACUUACCAGAAAGGGACGGCUAACUACGUGCCAGCCGCCGCAGUAAAAC